GAAUUUAAUAUAAUUUUUUUAUUAAUAUAAUGAAUUAAUUAUAUUUGAUUGGGGGGAUUAUUAAAUUUAAAAAACUUUAAUGUAAAAAACUUAAAUUAAAGAAAAAAAAAUAAAUAAUUGAAUAAUUUAAAUUAUUUAAGAAUUAAUUACCUUAGGGAUAACAGCAUAAUAAUUUUUUUUAGAUCUUAUAUAAAAAAUUGUUUAU
rnacentral:rRNA from 1 species